rnacentral:rRNA from 1 species
UACGUAGGGGGCAAGCGUUGUCCGGAUUUAUUGGGCGUAAAGAGCGUGUAGGCGGUUAUACAGGUCCGCCGUGAAAACUGGAGGCUUAACCUCCAGACGUCGGUGGAAACCGUAUAACUAGAGUCCGGAAGAGGAGAGUGGAAUUCCUGGUGUAGCGGUGAAAUGCGCAGAUAUCAGGAAGAACAUCCGUGGCUAAGGCGGCUCUCUAGUACGGUACUGACGCUGAGACGCGAAAGCGUGGGGAGCGAACAGG